UACAGAGGUGGCGAGCGUUAUUCGGAAUUAUUGGGCGUAAAGAGCGCGCAGGCGGUCGAUUUAGUCGCGUGUGAAAGCCCCCGGCUCAACUGGGGAGGGUCACGCGAUACUGAUCGACUCGAAGGCAGGAGAGGGUAGUGGAAUUCCCGGUGUAGUGGUGAAAUGCGUAGAUAUCGGGAGGAACACCAGUGGCGAAGGCGACUACCUGGCCUGUUCUUGACGCUGAGGCGCGAAAGCUAGGGGAGCAAACGGG
rnacentral:rRNA from 1 species